CAAUAGCGUAUAUUUAAGUUGUUGCAGUUAAAAAGCUCGUAGUUGGAUUUCGGUUGAGAACGGCCGGUCCGCCGUUUGGUGUGCACUGGCUGGUUUCAACUUCCUGUAGAGGACGUGCUCUGGCUUCACGGCUGGACGCGGAGUCUACGUGGUUACUUUGAAAAAAUUAGAGUGUUCAAAGCGGGCUUACGCUUGAAUAUUUCAGCAUGGAAUAACACUAUAGGACUCCUGUCCUAUUUCGUUGGUCUCGGGACGGGAGUAAUGAUUAAGAGGAACAGUUGGGGGCAUUCGUAUUUCAUUGUCAGAGGUGAAAUUCUUGGAUUUAUGAAAGACGAACUUCUGCGAAAGCAUUUGCCAAGGAUGUUUNCAUUA
rnacentral:rRNA from 1 species